GAUGGUAUAUGUAGCUUCAAUCUCUCUGACGAGUUGUUGCCAAGAAAAUGUCCUUAACGACACCUUCCUCAACUCUAUUUUCGCGCUAUGUUCCUUCUGCAUGUCCCAAUGGCCUCCACCAACAAUUACAAACUCCUACAGAAAAACUGUUAAAUCUCUUGAAACUAUGCCUUUCUACAAAGCCGCUACAACAAAUCCACACUCAAAUGCUCAUAAACUCAAUACAAAAACCCAAUUUCCUUCUCUCCAAAAUAAUUGCCCUUAAAGACUUUACAUAUGCUUCCCUUUUUUUUUCCCAAAUCCCCAAUCCCAAUGAUUAUGCGUUCAAUAUUAUGAUCCGAGGCCUGACAGCUACAUGGAGAAAAUACCCUCUUUCUAUUCAAUUAUAUUACCAGAUGAAGUUUUUAGGCCUAAAACCGAAUAAUUUCACUUACCCAUUUUUGUUCAUAUCAUGUGCAAAUCUUUUAGCAUUGAAUCAUGGGCAGGUAGGGCAUUCUAUGGUGUUUAAGAUUGGUUUGGAUCAGAAUUGUCAUGUGAAUCAUUCUUUGAUUACUAUGUAUGCAAGGUGUAGUGAAUUGGGAUAUGCAUACAAGGUAUUUGAUGAUAUUUGUGAGAGAGAUUUGGUGUCGUGGAAUUCGAUGAUUUCAGGGUACUCGAAAAUGGGUUUUGCACAAGAUGCAGUGAGGUUGUUCGGGGAAAUGAAGGAACAAGGGUUUGUGCCUGAUGAGAUGACAUUGGUGAGUGUUCUUGGAGCAUGUGGGGACUUGGGGGAUUUGAGUUUAGGGAAGUGGGUGGAAGGGUUUGUUGAUGAGAAGAAGAUGGAGUUGAAUACAUAUUUAGGGUCUGCUCUGAUUGAUAUGUAUGGGAAGUGUGGGGAUUUGACAUCGGCAAGGAGAGUCUUUGAUGGAAUGGUGAAGAAGGAUGUUGUGGCUUGGAAUGCCAUGAUCACUGGUUAUGCACAGAAUGGAGCAUCAGAUGACGCAAUUACACUGUUCAAUGACAUGAGAGAGUCAGGCGUAGAUCCAGAUAAUGUCACAAUGGUGGUUGUACUAUCUGCAUGUGCUUUAAUUGGGGCCCUUGAUAUGGGAAAAUGGGUUGAGACAUAUGCAUUACAGAGGGGCUCUCAACAUGACGUGUACGUUGCCAGUGCUUUAGUUGAUAUGUAUGCAAAGUGUGGGAACUUAGACAAUGCACUAAGGGUUUUUGAAAGCAUGCCUCAUAAAAAUGAGGUCUCCUGGAAUGCCAUGAUUUCUGCUCUUGCUUUUCAUGGGAGAGCUCAGGAAACAUUAUCAUUAUUCAGGCGCAUGCUAAAUGAUGGUAGUGUUGAACCAAAUGGAAUCACAUUUGUAGGAGUCCUGUCUGCAUGUGUUCAUGCUGGAUUGGUUGAUGAAGGCCAUCAGUUAUUUGAUUCAAUGAACACCUCAUUUGGAUUGGUACCAACGAUUGAGCAUUAUUCUUGUAUGGUUGAUCUUUUAGCACGCGCAGGACAUUUGUAUGAAGCUUGGGACUUCAUUGAAAGGAUGCCUGGAAAACCAGAUGCAAUUGUACUAGGAGCAUUGCUUGGUGCUUGUCAGAAGCUCGAAAAUGUAGAUGUGGGUGAACGGGUGAGUAAAAUGCUUUUAGAGAUGGAGCCAUCAAAUUCUGGAAACUAUAUUAUCUCAUCUCAGAUAUAUGCAAAUUUUAGAAGGUGGGAUGACUCAGCAAAAAUGAGGGUGUUGAUGAGACGGCAUGGUGUCACUAAGAUUCCUGGUUGUAGUUGGGUUGAGAUUGGAUCACAAUUUCAUGAAUUUCAUGCUGGUGAUACUUUACAUCAUCAUUCAAUAGAAAUCUAUGAUUUACUGAAUGAGGAAAUGAAAAGGGAAGGCUACAUUCCUAAGAUUGACUCUGUGUAGAGAUGGAAAAGUCAAGAAACUUGCUUAUUUCGUCAACCAAUGGAAAUGUGCUUGGUCCUUUAUAUGUUUAGCUGCAAAUAUAUGAUAGAAGGACAUGCUUGGAAGACUGAAAUCUGGAAAUGCAUUCUGCCAUAGUUUAAGAGGCAAGAGUGAACUGUAUUCUUUUGGAACUAUUUAUUGUUGGAGCAUCUUUCCAUGUGUUUUACCUGCUUGAUGAAUGGCCGGUAAUGCAUUCCUAACGAAUGUUUGGAUCUGUGCCUGGGUCUGAGCUUCCUAACCUUCUGCUGGGAAGAAGAAGUCCCCUGAAAAAGUGUCCGCCGUUAAGUUAAAGAGGCUGCCUCAUUGGCAGCUGGAAUUCCGUGCUUGGCCUGCUGCCUGUUUUUUUUGUGAGUCCCGGUAGAAUGACUCCCAGAUUUAUUACCAAAGUUUAAGAGGCAAGAGAGUCAUCAUCAAUUGCAAAGUAGAACCAAAAGCCUGGAGGAGGCUAAGAGGAAAAUUGAGGUAUUCAUGUCUGCUGUACAGAAACUGGAAAUUGGAUGGCUAAAGUAUGGGAAUUUUGAUGCAUUAUUUGUCUAUUUAUAGAAGAGAGUUUUGGAUGCUUUCAGGUUAUAGCAUGCCUCUACGAAAUCUCGUUAUUUAUAUGUGGGUAUUCCUCUAUAGGCUUGAAAUUUAUUUUAGUAUUAAUUUGAUUAUCUUAUAAAUAAACUUGAAAAUUUCAUUUUGUUUCUAUUUUAGAACAUCCAUUUUUAAGUCCCAUGACUUUUGGUUGUUGAGUUGUCUAGGAGCGCUAAUGUCUGGUAUCAGAGUUGAGAAGGUCAGCAAGCUACUGAAUUAGCUUAUGCCGGAUGAAAUAUAUUACAAGCUCAAAGAGCUACUUGCUCUGUUGAGUUUAAACUUUUACUAAUUGGUGAUAUUUGCUCUGUUGCAGGGGCUCUGUUGAGUUUAAACUUUUACUAAUUGGUGAUAUUUGCUUUGUUGCAGUUUAUAUCAGUUACAGCUAUAUGCUUUACAUGCUUCUUAAUUAGAUAUUUUGACAUGCUGCAAAAAUAAUUUUUUUUUUUCGUUUUUGCUGCGGUUUAUUGAUGUUGAAUUGUUGUUGUGUUUUAGAGUCUAAAAAGUAAAAGGAGUCUAUAUCUGCAUGCUCUUUAGCUAGCCUAGAUGCAGGAUUUUUUACUUUAUAUUGCAGGCUUUUACUCACUAACUUGGGGGCUAGUAGAUUGAUAAUGAGAAUCUAAUCAUUAUUAAUAUUUCAUUGGAGUCCGCAGUCUCUUUUCAGCAUUAGAUUAAUUUAUAAGCUUUUAUGGGUCCUCUUGCUCGUCUUUGAAGGAAAGAUUGAUACGAACAUCUACAACAUUUGCUGCUGCCAUGAUCAAUCUCGUUCCUAUUGUGAACCUAAUCAUGACCUUUUUUGGGUUAAUAAAUUUUGGUUUAGGAUGGGGAGAAUGAAACUGAGAACAAUAAUGGGAAACAAAGAUACUAGGGACUCAACUGCAGUUGGAGGAGCGGUGGUUAUAGAAAAUAAUAACCAUAUUGCAAUAUAUAGAAAAUUUACUAUGGCUA